rnacentral:rRNA from 1 species
ACGUAGGGUGCGAGCGUUGUCCGGAUUUAUUGGGCGUAAAGGGCUCGUAGGUGGUUGAUCGCGUCGGAAGUGUAAUCUUGGGGCUUAACCCUGAGCGUGCUUUCGAUACGGGUUGACUUGAGGAAGGUAGGGGAGAAUGGAAUUCCUGGUGGAGCGGUGGAAUGCGCAGAUAUCAGGAGGAACACCAGUGGCGAAGGCGGUUCUCUGGGCCUUUCCUGACGCUGAGGAGCGAAAGCGUGGGGAGCGAACAG